rnacentral:rRNA from 1 species
CCUACGGGUGGCAGCAGUGAGGAAUAUUGGUCAAUGGACGAGAGUCUGAACCAGCCAAGUAGCGUGAAGGAUGACUGCCCUAUGGGUUGUAAACCUCUUUUAUAUGGGAAUAAAACGUUCCACGUGUGGGAGUUUUUAUGUACCAUAUGAAUAAGGAUCGGCUAACUCCGGGCCAGCAGCCGCGGGCAUACGGAGGAACCGAGCGUUAUCCGGGUUUAUUGGGUUUAAAGGGAGCGUAGGUGGAUAGUCAAGGCAGUUGUGAAAGUUUGCGGCUCAACCGUACAAUUGCAGUUGAAACUGGCAGUCUUGAGUACAGUAGAGGUGGGCGGAAUUCGUGGUGUAGCGGUGAAAUGCUUAGAUAUCACGAAGAACUCCGAUUGCGAAGGCAGUUCACUGGACUGCAACUGACACUGAGGCUCGAAAGUGUGGGUAUCAAACAGGAUUAGAUACCCGUGUAGUC